CCCUCCAGCUCCCUCCAGUGAAACACAGCCUGCUGAAGGGGAAUGACAUUACAGGAGACAAAGUAAUGCAGUUCGAGAAAUUCUGGAUCAACAUGAAAGUGAAUCUGAUGGUUCAAACUCAGAAACUAGGGGAGGAAAUACACCGGUCAGAUUCCUUCCUGAUGCCAGCUUUCACAGGAGAAGAAGCGUGGUGUGUUUAACAUCAUUAUUUGAUCAAUCCUCACAUUAUUCUUCUAUAUGUGGCUCACAGAGCAAAGAGAAGCGAGGUGUUAAUAAAUAGUGUGAGGUGUGCUCUGUGAGGCGUCCUGGGGUAUGAUGGGUAACCUUGGCUUGGGUCCAAGCUCCACCUCUCUUGGGCGAUAUUUUGCAUAGAAAAAACUGGUGGGCGCUUUCGAACAACCCACACUUAUUUAGUCAACAUCGCAAGAAAUUAGCCUACUAAAGCCUCGUGAAUGGGGAUGUACCCAGAAAAAA